rnacentral:rRNA from 1 species
UGACCAGCGGAGGGAUCAUUACCGAGUUUACAACUCCCAAACCCCUGUGAACAUACCUUAAUGUUGCCUCGGCGGAUCAGCCCGCGCCCCGUAAAACGGGACGGCCCGCCAGAGGACCCAAACUCUAAUGUUUCUUAUUGUAACUUCUGAGUAAAACAAACAAAUAAAUCAAAACUUUCAACAACGGAUCUCUUGGUUCUGGCAUCGAUGAAGAACGCAGCAAAAUGCGAUAAGUAAUGUGAAUUGCAGAAUUCAGUGAAUCAUCGAAUCUUUGAACGCACAUUGCGCCCGCUGGUAUUCCGGCGGGCAUGCCUGUUCGAGCGUCAUUUCAACCCUCAAGCCCCCGGGUUUGGUGUUGGGGAUCGGCUCUGCCCUUCUGGGCGGCGCCGCCCCCGAAAUACAUUGGCGGUCUCGCUGCAGCCUCCAUUGCGUAGUAGCUAACACCUCGCAACUGGAACGCGGCGCGGCCAUGCCGUAAAACCCCAACUUCUGAAUGUUGACCUCGGAUCAGGUAGGAAUACCCGCUGAACUUAAGCAUAUCAAUAAGCGGAGGAAAAGAAACCAACAGGGAUUGCCCUAGUAACGGCGAGUGAAGCGGCAACAGCUCAAAUUUGAAAUCUGGCUUUCGGGCCCGAGUUGUAAUUUGUAGAGGAUACUUUUGAUGCGGUGCCUUCCGAGUUCCCUGGAACGGGACGCCAUAGAGGGUGAGAGCCCCGUCUGGUUGGAUGCCAAAUCUCUGUAAAGUUCCUUCGACGAGUCGAGUAGUUUGGGAAUGCUGCUCUAAAUGGGAGGUAUAUGUCUUCUAAAGCUAAAUAUUGGCCAGAGACCGAUAGCGCACAAGUAGAGUGAUCGAAAGAUGAAAAGCACUUUGAAAAGAGAGUUAAAAAGUACGUGAAAUUGUUGAAAGGGAAGCGUUUAUGACCAGACUUGGACUUGGUUAAUCAUCUGGGGUUCUCCCCAGUGCACUUUUCCAGUUCAGGCCAGCAUCAGUUUUCGCCGGGGGAUAAAGGCAGCGGGAAUGUGGCUCUCUUCGGGGAGUGUUAUAGCCCGUUGUGUAAUACCCUGGUGGGGACUGAGGUUCGCGCUCUGCAAGGA